rnacentral:rRNA from 1 species
UAGGGAAUCUUCCGCAAUGGACGAAAGUCUGACGGAGCAACGCCGCGUGAGUGAAGAAGGAUUUCGGUUCGUAAAACUCUGUUGUUAGGGAAGAAAAAAUGUAUAGUAACUAUAUACAAAAGAGACGGUACCUAACCAGAAAGCCACGGCUAACUACGUGCCAGCAGCCGCGGUAAUACGUAGGUGGCAAGCGUUGUCCGGAAUUAUUGGGCGUAAAGCGCGCGCAGGUGGUUUAGAAAGUCUGAUGUGAAAGCCCACGGCUCAACCGUGGAGGGUCAUUGGAAACUAAUAAACGUGAGUGCAGGAGAGAAAAGUGGAAUUCCUAGUGUAGCGGUGAAAUGCGUAGAGAUUAGGAGGAACACCGGUGGCGAAAGCGGCUUUGUGGCCUGCAACUGACACUGAGGCGCGAAAGCGUGGGGAGCAAACAGG